CCCCCAGGUACAGUACCUAUAAACAGUGUUUAUCCCCCCAGGUAUUUCUAUUUACCUAUAAACAGUGUUUAUCCCCCCAGGUAUUUACCUAUAAACAGUGUU